CUGCCCCAAAGGAGUAUAUGGGGCCUGCCUUCUACCUGGGCACCUUGAAGGCUGGCUCUUCUCCUAGGGACACCUUCCUCAGCCUGCCGACCUGGUAUCGUGGGUUCGUGUUCAUCAAUGGACGCAACCUUGGGCGGUACUGGACGAUUGGGCCUCAGCAGACCCUUUACCUUCCUG
rnacentral:lncRNA from 1 species